GAUGAACGCUGGCGGCGUGCCUAAUACAUGCAAGUCGAGCGAACAGACGAGGAGCUUGCUCCUCUGACGUUAGCGGCGGACGGGUGAGUAACACGUGGAUAACCUACCUAUAAGACUGGGAUAACUUCGGGAAACCGGAGCUAAUACCGGAUAAUAUAUUGAACCGCAUGGUUCAAUAGUGAAAGACGGUUUUGCUGUCACUUAGAGAUGGAUCCGCGCCGCAUUAGCUAGUUGGUAAGGUAACGGCUCACCAAGGCAACGAUGGGUAGCCGACCUGAGAGGGUGAACGGCCACACGAGGACUGAGAGAGGGCCCAGACGCCUACGGGAGGCAGCAGUGGGGAAUAUUGCACAAUGGGCGAAAGCGUGAGACAGCAACGCCGCGUGGGGGACGACGGCCGUCGGGUUGUAAACAUCAUUUAGCAGAGAAGAAGCGAAAGUGACGGUACCUGAAGAAAAAGCGCCGGCUAACUACGUG
rnacentral:rRNA from 1 species